GGGCCCGCACAAGCAGUGGAGUAUGUGGUUUAAUUCGACGCAACGCGAAAACCUUACCAGGUCUUGACAUCCUAGGAAUCUCUAAGAGAUUAGAGAGUGCCCUUCGGGGAACCUAGAGACAGGUGGUGCAUGGUUGUCGUCAGCUCGUGUCGUGAGAUGUUGGGUUAAGUCCCGCAACGAGCGCAACCCUUACGGUUAGUUGCUACAUUUAGUUGAGCACUCUAGCCGGACUUGCCGUUGACAAAACGGAGGAAGGUGGGGAUGACGUCAAAUCAUCAUGCCCCUUAUGACCUGGGCUACACACGUACUACAAUGGCCGUUAACAAAGGGAAGCAAUGCCGCGAGGUGGAGCCAAACCCAAAAAGCGGUCUCAGUUCAGAUUGCAGGCUGGCAACUCGCCUGCAUGAAGUCGGAAUUGCUAGUAAUCGCAGAUCAGCAUGCUG
rnacentral:rRNA from 1 species